AUUGAACGCUGGCGGCAGGCCUAACACAUGCAAGUCGAACGAGGGGCGGAGGGGUGAGAAAUAUCUGGGAACGUGCCUGAUGGAGGGGGAUCAAUAGUGGACACGGUCGCUAAUCCCGCAAACCAGCAGCUAUGCCCAUAUGGGAUUAGCUAAGUGGUGGGGUAACGGCUCACCAAGGCGACGAUCCCUAGCUGGUCUGAGAGGAUGACCAGCCACACUGGGACUGAGACACGGUCCAGACUCCUACGGGAGGCAGCAGUGGGGAAUAUUGCACAAUGGGCGCAAGCCUGAUGCAGCCAUGCCGCGUGUAUGAAGAAGGCCUUCGGGUUGUAAAGUACUUUCAGUGGGGAGGCGUUACCGACAGAAGAAGCACCGGCUAACUCCGUGCCAGCAGCCGCGGUAAUAC
rnacentral:rRNA from 1 species